GGGGCUGAUGCUUGUUGGUUAGCGGACUAGCUGUUAAUUAGUGUUAUGUAGGAUCGAAGCCUUCCAACCCCG
rnacentral:tRNA from 1 species